rnacentral:rRNA from 1 species
CCUACGGGUGGCAGCAGUGAGGAAUAUUGGUCAUUGGACGAGAGUCUGAACCAGCAAAGUAGCGUGAAGGAUGACUGCCCUUUGGGUUGUAAACUUCUUUUAUAUGGGACUAAAAUGUUCCACGUGUGGGGUUUUGUAUGUACCAUAUGAAUAAGGAUCGGUUAACUCCGUGCCAGCGGCCGCGGUAAUAUGGAGGAUCCGAGCGUUUUCCGGAUUUAUUUGGUUUAAAGGGAGCGUAGGUGGGUUGUUAAGUCAGUUGUGAAAGUUUGCGGCUCAACCGUAAAAUUGCAGUUGAAACUGGCAGUCUUGAGUACAGUAGAGGUGGGCGGAAUUCGUGGUGUAGCGGUGAAAUGCUUAGAUAUCACGAAGAACUCCGAUUGCGAAGGCAGCUCACUGGACUGCAACUGACACUGAGGCUCGAAAGUGUGGGUAUCAAACAGGAUUAGAUACCCGGGUAGUC